UGGGGAAUAUUGGACAAUGGGCGCAAGCCUGAUCCAGCCAUGCCGCGUGAGUGAUGAAGGCCCUAGGGUUGUAAAGCUCUUUCACCGGUGAAGAUAAUGACGGUAACCGGAGAAGAAGCCCCGGCUAACUUCGUGCCAGCAGCCGCGGUAAUACGAAGGGGGCUAGCGUUGUUCGGAUUUACUGGGCGUAAAGCGCACGUAGGCUGACUUUUAAGUCGGGGGUGAAAUCCCGGGGCUCAACCCCGGAACUGCCUUUGAUACUGGAAGUCUUGAGUAUGGUAGAGGUGAGUGGAAUUCCGAGUGUAGAGGUGAAAUUCGUAGAUAUUCGGAGGAACACCAGUGGCGAAGGCGGCUCACUGGACCAUUACUGACGCUGAGGUGCGAAAGCGUGGGGAGCAAACAGG
rnacentral:rRNA from 1 species